GUUUGAUCAUGUCUCAGGAUGAACGCUGGCGGCGUGCCUAACACAUGCAAGUCGAGCGAUUCUCUUCGGAGAAGAGCGGCGGACGGGUGAGUAACGCGUGGGUAACCUGCCCUGUACACACGGAUAUCAUACCGAAAGGUAUGCUAAUACGGGAUAAUAUGAGAGAGUCGCAUGGCUUUCUUAUCAAAGCUCCGGCGGUACAGGAUGUACCCGCGUCUGAUUAGCUAGUUGGUGAGGUAAUGGCUCACCAAGGCGACGAUCAGUAGCCGACCUGAGAGGGUGAUCGGCCACAUUGGAACUGAGACACGGUCCAAACUCCUACGGGAGGCAGCAGUGGGGAAUAUUGCACAAUGGGCGAAAGCCUGAUGCAGCAACGCCGCGUGAGCGAUGAAGGCCUUCGGGUCGUAAAGCUCUGUCCUCAAGGAAGAUAAUGACGGUACUUGAGGAGGAAGCCCCGGCUAACUACGUGCCAGCAGCCGCGGUAAUACGUAGGGGGGCUAGCGUUAUCCGGAAUUACUGGGCGUAAAGGGUGCGUAGGUGGUUUCUUAAGUCAGAGGUGAAAGGCUACGGCUCAACCGUAGUAAGCCUUUGAAACUGAGAAACUUGAGUGCAGGAGAGGAGAGUAGAAUUCCUAGUGUAGCGGUGAAAUGCGUAGAUAUUAGGAGGAAUACCGGUGGCGAAGGCGACCCCCUGGACCAACACUGACGCUGAGGUACGAAAGCGUGGGUAGCAAACAGGAUUAGAUACCCCAGUAGUCCUGGCCGUAAACGAUGGAUACUAGGCGUAGCGGGUAUCGACCCCUGCUGUGCCGCAGCUAACGCGAUAAGUAUCCCACCUGAGUAGUACGGCCGCAAGGUUGAAACUCAAAGGAAUUGACGG
rnacentral:rRNA from 1 species